rnacentral:pre_miRNA from 1 species
AGGACGGAAGGGAGAAGGGCGUGGUUUCCAGCAUCCCCCACUCCUCUCCUCCCGUCUUCU